CCCACCACACUUCGUUCACUGAAGAGGGAGAGAGGCGACGCGGAGGGCGAUCGCUAGGGUUUGCCAAGCCGUCACCUUGGUCGCCCCCGUCGUCGUCAAAUUGGCCGGUUCCGCGAGGCCACCCACUCCCCCUACUCUGGCCACGAUUCUCCACUCCUUCGUCCACAACAAGUUCUGAAAAUAGCACCUCUUCUCCUAAAUCCCUGGCUGCGCCGCCCGAAGCUCUAUUGGUACCAGCUUCGAACAAGUCUAUUCCAGCCCCAUCUAGUACCACUUCACAGGUAAGAUUGAUCUUCCGUGCCCUUCGCAUGUCGAUCUGACAUUAAUUUUACGAUAGAAGCACUGCCCAAGUUAAAAACUGACACUUGAUUAUGAGCAUGUUUCGGGUAUACACAGAUUUACUGUCAACUAGUAGGUCAUAUUGCAACAAGUAAUUUCACAGCAAGAUAAUGUGACAACGUACUACAUAAUCAUGGUUUUACUUGUUCGUAUGGGUAGUAAUGGGUAAACACUUUCCUCGCAAGUAAGAGAAAAGGGUGGGUAUUGGCCAGCAUACCUUGCUCGUCGACAUAGCCUUCACUAUGCUAUCAUCUUGCUUGACACAUGCUAUCAAGUAAUUUUUCUCCCUCGAAAAUGAUCCCCUACUGCUAGAUAUAGAAAAAGUAUAUUUGUAGGAGCAUACACAUGUUUUGGUUUGUGGGGAUAGUUUGAAGACUGUGCAUAUGUAUUUGCUAAUGCUUAAUUAAAAACUAAAAGCAAGCACAGAAGCAGUCCAUGAGGACAUUUGUAUUGAUGGAAUGAGGAUCAGUUAUAGUUUCAUGUAUUACUCGAUGGUAGUAUGAUGAUUAGUGCAUAUUUUGAAGGAUUUGUUAAGUACAGACGACUAUUGAUUGGUGCUUGUUUUCUAUGAUAUGUUCACACAUGUAACAUUUAUGGUUGGUGCAUAUUUUUGAUGAUUAUUGCUACUUCUUACUUGAAUUAUGUGAGCCUACCUCCAUGAUAUGGUAUGGGAUUGUUGGGGUCAAUUGAAGAUUUGUUGUGUGCUAGUAGUUCAUAUUGCAACAAAUUCCUCACUGUUGGAUUUUCUGCUAUUAUACUUCAUAAUCAUGAUUUUACUUGUUGGUAUGGGUAGUAAUGAGUAAAUACAUAGCAAGAUAUACAAAAGGGUGACUGUUGGUCAGCAUACGUUGCUCGUUCUCAUAGUCUUCGCUAUGAUGUCAUCUUGCUUAAGAGAUGUUAUCUUGUCCUUAUUCUCACUUGAAAAUUAACCUCCACAGCUACCUCUAAAAAUGUUAUGUACAUGAGAAAAUUCAUUAUUAGUUUUGUUGGGAAAAUUUAAAUACUUCAUAUUUAUUAGCUGAUGGUACCACACAACAUCCCAUUAGGAAAUUUGAAGUGAUCGAAGGCAGAUCAGUUACAGUUUCACGUAUUACUUGAUGAGAGCGGUCAAUCAUGGUUCAUUUUUUGAAUGAUUUGUUAAGUAUGCAAGGCUACUAAUUGGUGCAUACCUUAGAUGAAAUGAUUUUUAAGUGAUUGGUUGGAUACUAAUUAUGGUGUAACAAUUAUGGUUGGUUUAUAUUUUUGAUGAUUCUUUUAACUCCUUAAUCAAAUUAUGAGCGAAAUUGGUUUGAUGCCAAAAAUGCAUGGCUACUAAUUGGUUCGUUACCAAGUUUUCUUGUCCAACUCACAUAAAGUUGCCAAUAUUUGGCAAUGCCAACAUUGCUAGCAAACCAUUCAUGAUCUAUCAGCAUGAAUGGUUCGAUGCCAAAAUUUGGCAUGCCAAUAUCUGGCAAAAUACCAAAUAUUUUCUAGUGAUUGGUUGGCUACCAACUAUUUGUGCCAAUGUCACAAAAAUAUGCCAAAAAUUUGUAACUUUGAAAUACCACAAUUGGUUAUGUCUGCCCAAUGAUUAUGAGUCUAACCACUAGUCUUGAUUAGUCUUGCGAAUAAUAUAGUAGUAUCAAUCUGGUUGUCGACUAGCUUUUUCAUGUAUAUGUUUGUACAUGAACGACAUACUUAGCAAGAAGUAUGCAAAAAUAUUAUUCACAUUGUAUAUGGUGCUAACAAGUCCUAAUGUAAGACUGAUUUCAUAUAUCAAUAACUACCAUUUGUUCAUUGCAAUGCAUGCAACGGGUUUGAAUGGCAAGGGAAACCAUCCUCAUUAGCAGUGAAGAGAGUGAUCACCAGACCACCUCAGAUGAUGCUUCAUAUGGCACUUCACAUGGGAGUGAUGGCUAUAGCGGUGAUGACGACACCUCUAGCGACUAUGACACUGAUGAUAGUUCUGAUGGAGAUGGAUAUGUCGAUCACGAUCCCAUCUUGGCACACAGGAGUAAAGUUCUAUAUGGCCGGUCCGAUAUUAAAUGAAGCGUGAACUAUCUAAAGUUGAGGUUUGAGUAAAACUUUAUUACCACACAUUACUCUGUUUGGGUUCUAGAUGACCGUCCGAAUCAACAUUGACUCAACUAGAGCUUAAAUAGAGCAAUGUUUAGUUGUUAGUUUAAAUAAAUCAAGUAUUCAAUUUGCCCAUGUUUCUGUGAGAUAUUUCUGGGUGGAUGUGAUUGGGUUAUCUAUGUCCUUCGUUUCUUGGUCACUGAAGUAGGCAUUGAUCAUCAACCUAGUGUUGAUGUUCUAGAUCUUAUGUAUGAAAUUAUUGACUACUCUGUCAUCUUAAUUUUUCUGAUACAGGUCCGGGAUCCAUUUUGAGACGCGGAGGUUUCUAGGAUCACAUCUUCUAUGGCAACCAUGUAUCGCUAGACUAUAUUAGGUGGGACUGUCUCAAAUCCACAGUAAAGCAUUGCAAACCUCCCAUAUCAUACUAUGUAUACACCAUCACACACUUGGCAGUCAUCAGAGGGAAGAGCAAGAUGGUAAAUACUUGGACUUUGUUGUUUGCAAGUCAUACUUCACAAGUGAAAAUGCCAUCAUGUAACAUUAUUUAUUUCCUUGUGGAAUCAAUGUUUCUGAAAGGAUUACAGUGAGGCCUACGUCAAAUAUUAUCUCCGACAUCCCAUGGUUGUGCGUGUCACCACCAAAAUUUUUGAAGGUUCUAAAAAGGUCUUGUUCAAGAUGGGCAAGAAGGACGGGCAUGCGAUCACGAGAAGAACUGGAGAGAAGUCGUUGAGGGCACCAAAAUGAAAGAAGAUCUUAUGGCUAUCUUCAGGUUCAUGGAAAGGAGGGGAGGUGGGCUUAAGAUGAACAUGGCCAGUGGCAUGAAGAUUCGUUGACCCAUGUGAAGAACCAUGACUGAAUGAACUAGUUUGAUGCUAGUUGUUAUAAUAUGUAUGUACUAGCCAGUAACUAUAAGUUGGUAGUGUCAGCUUUUGGGUAGAGUAAGUGGAACUUACUAGUAAUUGGUACUUGGUGGUAAGUAGUACUUUGGUAGUAUAACUUUUGGGUCCGACUGGAUAUGAACAUCAGCUAGUAAGUCGAACUUGGCAGUAACUGGUUGGUGGUUGUAUGAACUUAUGUGGCGUAAUGUUCUUGGUAUGCAAGUCUAUAUAUAUAAUGCAUCCUGGUACCCUCCCUGAUAUCAUUACCUUUAUGGACUGCAAUGAUAUUUCCUUUUUUUUGCCAUAGUUGUAAAGUG
rnacentral:lncRNA from 1 species